UACGGGGGGGGCAAGCGUUGUUCGGAAUUACUGGGCGUAAAGGGCUCGUAGGCGCCAACUAAGUCGGAUGUGAAAUCCCCAGGCUUAACCUGGGAACUGCAUCCGAUACUGGUUGGCUUGAAUCCGGGAGAGGGAUGCGGAAUUCCAGGUGUAGCGGUGAAAUGCGUAGAUAUCUGGAGGAACACCGGUGGCGAAGGCGGCAUCCUGGACCGGCAUUGACGCUGAGUGAGCGAAAGCCAGGGGAGCAAACGGG
rnacentral:rRNA from 1 species